GCACUGAAUCCCGUCGUUGUAACGGCUUCGGGAGAUGUGGUGUUCGGGAGGUUCCGCUUUCUUGUCGUCGUCCACUCCUGUCCAAGUUCGUCUUGAACGGGGCCCAUUUCCCAUAGAGGGUGCCAGGCCCGUAGCGACGGAGGACGGCGGCGAGAGGGACUCUCCUCAGAGUCGGGUUGCUUGAGAGUGCAGCCCUAAGUGGGUGGUAAACUCCAUCUAAGGCUAAAUAUUACCGCGAGACCGAUAGCGAACAAGUACCGU
rnacentral:rRNA from 1 species